rnacentral:rRNA from 1 species
AAAAAUAUGUGGGGGGGGGGGGAGGGGAAAAUAACCCCCCCCCAAAGAAAAAAAAAAUUUUUUUGGGGGAUUUUAUAAAUCCCCCCCCUCUUAUUUUUUUUUUUUUUUUUUUUAUUAAAAAAGGGGGGGGGGCCCUUUCUUGGGGCCCCCCCCCCCCUUUUUUAAGAAGAGGGCCCCCGGGUUAAAAAUAUAAGCUAAGGUUGGGGAGGGGUAAAAAGGCCUCCCCCAAGGGCAACCGAUUUUUUUGGUGGUUUUUGGAGGGGAGGUUUAAACCCCAUUUGGGGGAUUAGGGCCCCGGGCCGGAAUUCCUUCGGGGAGGCACCAAUGGGGAAAUUUUGGCCAAAAGGGGGCAAACCCUGUCCCAAGCAAUUCCCGCGGUGUUGAAAAAGGCCCUGAAGGUUGUAAAGCCUUUUCAAUUGGGAAGAAAAUUUAACGGUUUAAUAACCGUUAGCCCUUGACGUUAACUUUAGAAGAAGCCCCGGGCCAAUUCCGUGCCAGCAGCCGCGGUAAUACGGAGGGUGCAAGCGUUAAUCGGAAUUACUGGGCGUAAAGCGUGCGUAGCCGGUUUAUUAAGUCAGAUGUGAAAGCCCCGGGCUUAACCUGGGAACUGCAUUUGAAACUGGUCAACUAGAGUAUGGUAGAGGAAAGUGGAAUUUCUGGUGUAGCGGUGAAAUGCGUAGAUAUCAGAAGGAACAUCAAUGGCGAAGGCAGCUUUCUGGACCAAUACUGACGCUGAGGUACGAAAGCGUGGGUAGCAAACAGGAUUAGAUACCCUGGUAGUCCACGCCGUAAACGAUGAUAACUAGCUGUUGGGGGGAUUUACCCUUUAGUGGCGAAGCUAACGCGUUAAGUUAUCCGCCUGGGGAGUACGGCCGCAAGGUUAAAACUCAAAGGAAUUGACGGGGACCCGCACAAGCGGUGGAGCAUGUGGUUUAAUUCGAUGCAACGCGAAGAACCUUACCUGGUCUUGACAUCCUGCGAACUUUCUAGAAAUAGAUUGGUGCCUUCGGGAACGCAGUGACAGGUGCUGCAUGGCUGUCGUCAGCUCGUGUCGUGAGAUGUUGGGUUAAGUCCCGUAACGAGCGCAACCCCUAUCCUUAUUUGCCAGCACGUCAUGGUGGGAACUAUAAGGAGACUGCCGGUGAUAAACCGGAGGAAGGCGGGGACGACGUCAAGUCAUCAUGGCCCUUACGACCAGGGCUACACACGUGCUACAAUGGGAAGGACAAAGAGCCGCGAAGCCGCGAGGUGUAGCUAAUCUCAGAAAUCUUUUCGUAGUCCGGAUUAGAGUCUGCAACUCGACUCCAUGAAGUCGGAAUCGCUAGUAAUCGUAGAUCAGAAUGCUACCGGAAUUGCGCCCC